GACGAACGCUGGCGGCGUGCUUAACACAUGCAAGUCGAACGGAAAGGCCUCUUUCGGGGGGUACUCGAGUGGCGAACGGGUGAGUAACACGUAGGUAACCUGCCCUUGACUUUGGGUUAACUUCAGGAAACUGGGGCUAUUACCGGAUAGUAGCUCCUGCUGCAUGGUGGGGGUUGGAGAGUUUCGGCGGUUGGGGGAGGGCUCGCGGCUUAUCGGCUUGUUGGGGGGGUAGUGGCUUACCAGGGCGUUGCCGGGUAUCCGGACGGUGAGUGUGACAGGACACAUUGAGACUGAGGGACGGCACAGACGGCGACGGGAGGAAGCAGUGGGGAAUAUUGCACAAUGGGUGGAGGCCGGAUGCAGCAAGGCUGUGGGCGGGAUGACGGCCUUCGGGUUGUAAACCGCUUUCGCUCAUGACGAAGCUUUGUGUGACGGUAGUGGGUAAAGAAGCACCGGCUAACUACGUG
rnacentral:rRNA from 1 species